rnacentral:rRNA from 1 species
UACGUAGGUGGCAAGCGUUGUCCGGAAUUAUUGGGCGUAAAGCGCGCGCAGGCGGUCCUUUAAGUCUGAUGUGAAAGCCCACGGCUCAACCGUGGAGGGUCAUUGGAAACUGGGGGACUUGAGUGCAGAAGAGGAAAGCGGAAUUCCACGUGUAGCGGUGAAAUGCGUAGAGAUGUGGAGGAACACCAGUGGCGAAGGCGGCUUCUGGUCUGAUAACUGACGCUGAGGCGCGAAAGCGUGGGAGC